GACGAACGCUGGCGGCGUGCCUAACACAUGCAAGUCGAACGGUAAGGCCCUUCGGGGUACACGAGUGGCGAACGGGUGAGUAACACGUGGGUGAUCUGCCCUGCACUUCGGGAUAAGCCUGGGAAACUGGGUCUAAUACCGGAUAGGACCACUGCCUGCAUGGGUGGUGGUGGAAAGCUUUUGCGGUGUGGGAUGGGCCCGCGGCCUAUCAGCUUGUUGGUGGGGUGAUGGCCUACCAAGGCGACGACGGGUAGCCGGCCUGAGAGGGUGACCGGCCAAACUGGGACUGAGAGACGGCCCAGGCUCCUACGGGAGGCAGCAGUGGGGAAUAUUGCACAAGGGGCGCAAGCCUGAGGCAGCGACGCCGCGUGAGGGAUGACGGCCUUCGGGUUGUAAACCUCUUUCAGCACCGACGAAGCGCAAGUGACGGUAGGUGCAGAAGAAGGACCGGCCAACUACGUGCCAGCCGCCGCCGUAA
rnacentral:rRNA from 1 species